CUUCUCUUUCUUUUCCUUCUUCUCCUUCAUCGUCGUUCUUAUCCUUUUUUGCGAUCUCUUCUUCGUCUUCAGCUUUAGCUUUUCGCCUUUGAUUACUUCUCCUUUUCCCGAUCGUUUCAUCUCUUCUUCGUCGUUUUGGAACCCUAAAUUUGAGGAAGGUCACUUAAGUAAAGGAUGCUCAUACGAUGAUUCUGAAGAAAUCUGUUGAAUAGGUUCAUCAAGUUCCAAGCAUUACUGAGGGUUGUCAAGGAUUAUACCAAAUCUCAUGAUUCAGUUGUUUAGGAGGUUUUAAUUGUUACAAGUAUCCUGCUUUUUGCUAACCUUGGGCUUAUCUCCAUUUUUCAUCUUAAGUACUGUGAUACUGAAGACAUACACAAUCUAUGAAGCCAUUCACAAAUCCCUUGUUCAGAGAAAAAGCGGGACAAGAAAGAUGGCAUACGAUCAAGGUGUAGCAUGAUAGAUUACUGGGUCACCGAAGAAGAGUGACUCUGGGAGCGAGGCCGAUCUCCAUGCAGCGUGAGGACCAGAGAUCUCUGCAUUUAGUGUUGCUGUCGGUGCGGGCUUGCAGGGUGUGGUUGCUUAUGUUCAUAUAACUUGCUACUAUUUGAUCGGAAUUCCCCUUGGAUGUUUGCUUGGUUAUGUAUUGGGUUUCCAUAUUAAGGUUUAUGAUUACUUUGUUCAUUUAAUCUUGGUGAUCCCUAAUAAAGGUUGCUAAUCAACGUGACUUCAACAAACAAAGAGAAAUCUUACAGACCAAGUUGACUUUUGGUAUGCUUUGAUGUUUUAUUUCUCAUUUUGUGUUGAUUGUUAGUGUUAUCUAUCGAGGAAUAUAAUUAUUAGAGUUGAUCAUGUUAUGCACGUAGAUGAUUUGUAAAACAUCUUUAUUCCUUUUGCUUGUUUUGAUUAAUGCAUGUUAAUUGUAGAUGUUGAUGUAGUCAUUUUGAUUACUAAAUGCAUGAAUAAAUAUGAACAGUAAAUGUGUAUGGUGAGAUUCAUUUGACAUGUAAGCUCUUUAGAUUACUACAUGAUAAAAUAAAUAAACAAAAUGAUCUCUUAUUAUAUUUAAUAUUUAUUCAUGCAUGUAUAUAUUGUCUACUGUUUUACAUGCUUUUAAAAUUAUUUAUGAACAUAUGUAUUAAUAUACAUAGUAUGGGAAUUAACAAAUGGUGCCUAAUACUUAAUUAAAAAUAGUGGUUGUAGGACAAAAAUGUUGUCAAGACAGUGGAUGUAUAAUCAAAAUCUACCUGGCCAAAAAGGAUUAAUUGAUGAAUUUAUUACCGGGGUGGAUGAAUUUAUCCAGUUCGCAAUUAAUCAAGAUGACUCAUAUAAGAA